rnacentral:rRNA from 1 species
AUGAACGCUGGCGGCGUGCCUAAUACAUGCCAGUCGAGCGAACAGAUAAGGAGCUUGCUCCUUUGACGUUAGCGGCGGACGGGUGAGUAACACGUGGAUAACCUACCUAUAAGACUGGGAUAACUUCGGGAAACCGGAGCUAAUACCGGAUAACAUAUUGAACCGCAUGGUUCAAUAGUGAAAGGCGGCUUUGCUGCCACUUAUAGAUGGAUCCGCGCCGUAUUAGCUAGUUGGUAAGGUAACGGCUUACCAAGGCAACGAUACGUAGCCGACCUGAGAGGGUGAUCGGACACACUGGAACUGAGACACGGUCCAGACUCCUACGGGAGGCAGCAGUAGGGAAUCUUCCGCAAUGGGCGAAAGCCUGACGGAGCAACGCCGCGUGAGUGAUGAAGGUCUUCGGAUCGUAAAACUCUGUUAUCAGGGAAGAACAAAUGUGUAAGUAACUGUGCACAUCUUGACGGUACCUGAUCAGAAAGCCACGGCUAACUACGUG